UAUGGCCAUAUCAUGUUGAAACGCCAUUUCUCGUGCGAUCACCAAAGUUAAGCAACGUCGAACCCGAUCAGUACCUAGAUGGGUAACUGCUUGGGAAUAUCACGUGCUGUAA